rnacentral:rRNA from 1 species
AACGAACGCUGGCGGCGUGCCUAACACAUGCAAGUCGAGCGCGAAAGUCCCUUCGGGGGCAAGUAGAGCGGCGGACGGGUGAGUAACGCGUAGGCAACCUGCCCUUAACACAGGGAUAGCCUCGGGGAAACCGGGAUUAAAACCUGAUAAUGCCAAAUAGUCACAUGGCUGUUUGGCCAAAGAUUUAUCGGUUAAGGAUGGGCCUGCGUCUGAUUAGUUUGUUGGUGGGGUAACGGCCUACCAAGACUACGAUCAGUAGCCGACCUGAGAGGGUGAUCGGCCACAUUGGAACUGAGACACGGUCCAAACUCCUACGGGUGGCUG